rnacentral:rRNA from 1 species
UACGUAGGAGGCGAGCGUUGUCCGGAAUCACUGGGCGUAAAGCGCGUGUAGGCGGAUGACUAAGUUUGCUGUGAAAGCGCCUGGCUUAACCGGGCGAGGUCGGCGAAAACUAGUCGUCUGGAGGCCGGUAGAGGGGGGUGGAAUUCCGGGUGUAGUGGUGAAAUGCGUAGAGAUCCGGAGGAACACCCGUGGCGCAGGCGGCCCCCUGGGCCGCGCCUGACGCUGAGACGCGAAAGCGCGGGGAGCAAACAGG